rnacentral:rRNA from 1 species
UACGUAGGCAGCAAGCGUUGUUCGGAGUUACUGGGCGUAAAGGGUGUGUAGGCGGUUUUUUAAGUUUGGUGUGAAAUCUCCCGGCUCAACUGGGAGGGUGCGCCGAAUACUGAAAGACUAGAGUGCGGGAGAGGAAAGUGGAAUUCCUGGUGUAGCGGUGAAAUGCGCAGAUAUCAGGAAGAACACCCGUGGCUAAGGCGGCUCUCUAGUACGGUACUGACGCUGAGACGCGAAAGCGUGGGGAGCGAACAGG